AAAUUUAAAUGCUUAGAUUCAACGCUAAAGAUACAGUUUUAUAAAUAUACAGUUAGUGUUUUAAUUAUUUAAUUAUUUAAUUUUAUUUUAUUUACCUAAUUUAGAGAAUUGUUACGCAUUUGUUACGUGCUACAGUAUUCUGUGUUUAGAUGUCCCAAUAGAGUGCCAGCAGGCGUGGUUAGACUGAGCAUCUACUUUAGCUUAAUUAUUAUUAUUUUAGAGAUUAUGUUGUUAUUAACUAGUAAAAUAGGCAGUUGACAAUUACUCUCUUUUUGUUAUUAGUCAUGGAAAAGACAAGGAUUAGAUACCCUUUUAUGCAUGAUGAUAAAAUCAAGAUGAUUUGACUUAAAAUUUAAAUUAUUUGGCGGUAGAAGAAGACCUUAGAGAAACCUGCUUAUUAAUUGGAUGGUCCACCAUUAUAUUUUCUUAGUAUUUGUGUUACCUGUAUGUCUGUUUAGAUUAUUGUUAGAUCUUUAGUCUAUUUUCUUUUUUAAGGUAAAUUCAGGUCGAUAUAGGGAUUGUUACUAAGUUAUUGUGGGUUGCAUUAAAGUCUUAUAGUGAUCUUAUUAAUACGGAUCUAAUUUGGAUUUAAAAGUAAAUGUUUUGUUAGUACAUUGAAUUCACAUUCUUCUAAGUACAAAUCGCCCGUCACCUCUGUCACAAAAAGACUGAGUAAGUCGAAACAAAGUAGGUUGGCUGGAAGGGUGACCUGUAAG
rnacentral:ncRNA from 1 species